CCUACGGGGGGCAGCAGUGAGGAAUAUUGGUCAAUGGGCGAGAGCCUGAACCAGCCAAGUCGCGUGAGGGAUGACGGUCCUAUGGAUUGUAAACCUCUUUUGUCGGGGAACAAAGGCGUCCACGUGUGGACUGAUGAGUGUACCCGAAGAAAAAGCAUCGGCUAACUCCGUGCCAGCAGCCGCGGUAAUACGGAGGAUGCGAGCGUUAUCCGGAUUUAUUGGGUUUAAAGGGUGCGUAGGCGGAUUUUUAAGUCAGCGGUAAAAUGUCCGGGCUCAACCCGGGCCGGCCGUUGAAACUGGGGAGCUAGAGUGGGCGAGAAGUAUGCGGAAUGCGUGGUGUAGCGGUGAAAUGCAUAGAUAUCACGCAGAACUCCGAUUGCGAAGGCAGCAUACCGGGGCCCGACUGACGCUGAGGCACGAAAGCGUGGGGAUCGAACAGGAUUAGAUACCCUUGUAGUC
rnacentral:rRNA from 1 species